UACGUAGGGGGCAAGCGUUAUCCGGAUUUACUGGGUGUAAAGGGAGCGCAGGCGGCGGGAUAAGUCAGCAGUGAAAGCCCGGGGCUCAACCCCGGGACUGCUGUUGAAACUGUCCGGCUUGAUUGCGGGAGGGGCGCGCGGAAUUCCUGGUGUAGCGGUGAAAUGCGUAGAUAUCAGGAGGAACACCGGUGGCGAAGGCGGCGCGCUGGACCGCGAAUGACGCUGAGGCUCGAAAGCGUGGGGAG
rnacentral:rRNA from 1 species